rnacentral:lncRNA from 1 species
CACGCAGCUGGCUUAGCUCUGGGACGAUGAAUCAGAAUAUGUUUGCUGCAUGCGGGGCCUCCUCUGGGAUAAAAUUGAACCCUUCUAACUUUCAGGGACUCCUGAAGAAAUUCCUGAACUUCUUCCAUUACCGGAUGCUUUCAUUUGCAGAAAAUGGAGAAAUCGAUUCACCAGAGGACUGGAACCAUGUUGGACAGGGAUUCAGGAGGACCUGUGCUUUGGACAUGUACUGUGUGAUUAUGGGCAAGUGAUAGCAUCUCUGAGGAUCAGUUCCAUUGGCUGUGAACAAAGGUAAUCAUGCCUGCUGUACCUUCCUCACAGACUCAAACAAAAUAAGUCUGCAAUGCACUAAAGUCAGUAAUAAUAAUGUUGUUGUUGCUAUCAUUAUCAUUUUUGUAGGACAAAUCACUGCCGCCCACUCAGAGGCCCCUUUCCCUGCUCUCAGUUCUUCCCAGCCACAGGUGUGCACU